UACGUAGGGUGCGAGCGUUGUCCGGAAUUAUUGGGCGUAAAGGGCUCGUAGGCGGUUUGUCGCGUCGGGAGUGAAAUCCACUGGCUUAACUGGUGGCUUGCUUUCGAUACGGGCAGACUGGAGGUAUGCAGGGGGAGAACGGAAUUCCUGGUGUAGCGGUGAAAAUGCGCAGAUAUCAGGAGGAACACCGGUGGCGAAGGCGGCUUCCUGGACCGACACUGACGCUGAGGCGCGAAAGCUAGGGGAGCAAACGGG
rnacentral:rRNA from 1 species